GUUCAGGACAUCAGGCUAUGACCAUGAUUACGCCAGGCUAUUUAGGUGACACCUAUAGAAUACUCCAGGCUAUGCAUCACGCGUUGGGAGCUCUCCCAUAAGGGUCGACCUGCAGGCGCCGAGGAAUUCACUAGUUGAUUCCGGCCGGGCUGCAGUUGUGGCUCCUAUGCAUAAAGCCAAACGGAAGAAGCGCCACGCCGGCGAAAGGCAUGAAGGCGUUCGGGUUGUAAACCCGCUGUCAGUUGGGAGGAAAUCUAUGGGGGUUCUCCCCCAUAGUUGACCUAUCUUCAGAGGAAGGACGGGCUAAGUUCGUGCCAGCAGCCGCGGUAAGACGAACCGUCCAAACGUUAUUCGGAAUCACUGGGCUUAAAGGGUGCGUAGGCGAAAUGGCAAGUUGGGUGUGAAAUCCCUCGGCUCAACCGAGGAACUGCGCUCAAAACUGCCAAGCUAGAGGAAGAUAGAGGUGAGCGGAACUAAUGGUGGAGCGGUGAAAUGCGUUGAUAUCAUUAGGAACACCUGUGGCGAAAGCGGCUCACUGGGUCUUUUCUGACGCUGAGGCACGAAAGCUAGGGUAGCGAACGGGAUUAGAUACCCCGGUAGUCCUAGCUGUAAACGAUGAGCACUAGGUUGGAGGCUCCUCCAUAGGUUUCCGACCGGAGCGAAAGUGUGAAGUGCUCCGCCUGGGGAGUAUGGUCGCAAGGCUGAAACUCAAAGGAA
rnacentral:rRNA from 1 species